rnacentral:lncRNA from 1 species
UUUUUUUUUUUUUUUUUUUUGUGUGCUUGUUGGACAUCAUUUAAUCUCAUUAACACAAGCAAAGCAGAGGCUGAGCAUUAACCCAAGUUUCCAAGUAUUUCUUCUUCCAUGGCCAAGCUUAAUACUACCAAAAUCUAAUUCAACCGGCAGGAAUAUCAAUUAGAUGAUCAUGAAACCCUAUUCAACUUUUAUUAUACACUCCCGAUUCCCCUAUCGGCUUGAAGUCUUUCUUAAGAAAAAGAAAAAGAAAACAAACCAGGCUUAAUUUGUUUGAUGAAACCAUAAAGCUCAAGCAUAAGCUAUAUAUUUCGGAGAAAAUAAUAGUUUGGCUCCCGCGCUAGAUGUACGAAAACAAAAAAUGCACGAGCUAACAAAAAGUCAUUGGAGCCACCAGCCCACCACCAAGAACUUAAGUGACAUAAGUUGUCGGCAAUGUGGAAGGUUAAGAGUUCAAUUCUUACCUCCCAUCAAAUUUGUCACUAUAUAUCGCUGCCUUCAGUGGCUUUCUCUAAUGGUGAUUUAACUUCCACAGACUCUCUCUCCCCUUAGAUUAGGAUAGAUUAUAUUAUAGAAAUAUUAUCAUUGUAAUAAAAAAAAAAAACAGAAAGUCAUUGGCAACCCGCCAAUUAAAGAACGUGCGUAACUAAUUUAUCCGUUAAUAACAAAAUGAAAAGUCAAAAUACACGUUAUACAAUCCACAUGGUUUCAUCUGAUGAUGACAAAUGCAUUAAGUGCUACACAUGUUUCGUGUAACGCGAACAAAGUUUCCUAAAGGUUUCACCAAAGUUUCUGCUUGACAUCAUGGAAUAUGCCCAUUGGCAGCAACCAAAUUUUUAUAUUAAAAAUUUUAUAUUUGCGAAUAAAAUCAAAAAAUGGACCAAGUUACUCAAUUUGAGCUCGAAUUGCUAAGAGAUCAUUGAGUUUGGUCCGUCAGCUAAAUUCGAACCAAGCUCGACUCGCUUAGCAUAUAUAAUGGAGCCUUUGAGAUGUACAUGUAUAAAACUCAAUCAAACUUAGCUUGAUUAAUGAAUAAGUCAAAUUUAAAUACAAUUUUAAACUCCUUAACACAGAUAGACAAGCUUGAGCAUUUGAUUGCUAAUUAGACUCAUUCACACUUCUGUUUCUGAUUUAAGAUUUUUGAAAAUUUUCUGAGAUAAAAGUAAACUAUAAAAAACAUUUCUACAUGAUAUCAAAUUCUCAAGCUUGGGGGCAAGUAAUUUAUAUUAUAAUAACUUCUUACGGUUAAAUUAUUAAUAUAAAUAAAAAUUUUAAAAUUCAUAGAGGGCAAAUGAAAUUGUCAAAUUUGAGAUUGUGUGCAUUGAAUAAUCCGUUGGUCAUGUGAAUGUAAUGUUGUUCAAAAACACAAGAAUUUCCAAGUGUAGAAGUGGAAUAUUAGUCGGCGACAAAUACAACAUCGUGGCUCGAUUGUGACCUGAACUCAUGUUAUAUUAUUUUUGUUAUCCAUUAAAUUUUACGACCAGGCAAGUGUGAAAUGAGGUCCCGAAUCGUAGGAAAGCUCCAAGAGUAAGCAAGAAUUAGACUUGGAUAAAAAGCCACAUCCUAAAAGCUAUGAAUUAAACACGAAGCUUCGGCUUAGAAAAGGUCACCGCGUAACUUGAACCGGCGUUCCACUCCUCCCCUGCCGCUUAUUACUAUAGAUAGAUUGGUACGCAUAUUAUUAUCAUUUUUAUUUAUUAAAUUGAAUGAUAAAACAAAUUAUGGAAGCACAAAUAAUUAAAAAAUGGUGUGUAAAUAAUAUUUUUCAAAAUAAAUAAUUCUAACCGACUUCUACUUGUGCAGUUGUGCUUGUGCUCUAAGGGUUUGAAAAUAGCCAAAUACAGAAAGAUAGCUAUAUUUGGAUAGCAAAUUUUUCCAAAAAAAUUUUUGCUAGCAUCAUAAGCGUAUUUCUCAAUUCACCUUUUUAUAUUCUCAACCGCCUUUUUAUCUCACAUACAUCAUAUCACAAAAAUAUAUUUGCUGAUCAUAACACUCUUCUAUAUGUGUUUGGAAAAUGUUAGAUUGUUUGGGAGAAUUUUUUUGAAAAAGUACCGUAAUACUUUUUCAGUGUAAUAUAUGUGAGAUAAAAAAAAUGGUCGAAAAAUAUAUUAAUCAUUCGAGCAAAUAAUCUCUAUAUUAUAUAUACUGAUAGUGUAUACGCUAUCAUCAUUGAAUCUAUGAUAUACAUGCAAAAGCUAGAGUUCAAAUUCAAAUUUUACAUAAUUAUCAUUCAUCCAAAACUGACAAUAUAUACAUUAUUAAAUGUAGGAAAGAUUAGAGUCCAUUUGGAUUGCUAUUUUUAGGAUUUUUUUUUUGUCAAAAAAUAUACUAUAGUAAUUUGGUAUAUAUAAGAUAAAAAAAUAACUGAAAAAUAUAUUUAUGAAAACAUAAAAAUUUUUCUCCCGAAAAUCACAGUCCAGAAUCUUCUUCCAAACAACACAGAAGUACAUGAAGAAUACAGAGAAUGUCAUUCAUGGUACCAAGGAAAACUCCCAGAAAGUAAAAAAAAAAAAAGUCAAGCAGUCAACCAAUACCUUCAUUCCACGCGUUCUAGGUGGAAGUAAGUAGCAGUCCUAAGUGUUGGCCUGUGAUUAAUCUAUCCAAAUUUUUUCACAAAAAAAAAAAAAAAAAAUGAAGAAGUACUCUUUAGACUUGAGACUUUCCCAGUCCCCACGCGGCCACACUCGUCAGUUAAUUGAAGAUAAAUCUGCCAAAGGUUCUAGAUUUGUUAAACAAACCCCUGAAGGAAAACUAUUACUCUACUGUAGUUUUCCCAGCCACCGACUCAGACCGUUACCUACCUUAUUAGUUUCCAGUUGUAGUCAGCAACCAAAACCUGACGGCUACUCAUUUUACAUUUUUUCCCUUUGAGGCAGGAUAUUUUUUUUUUACCAUAAGCCCGAAGACUUUUCGAGGCAGGAUAUUUGAUUCACACAUAAACACACACACACACACACACACACACACACACACACACACACACAUAUAUAUAUAUAUAUUAUAUAAUAAUAAUAAUACAGUACUAACAAGCUUACUAGAUACACAUUGAUUUCUUAGUUUACAAGGAAACAAUAAAGGGAUCAUGGGAAAGUAUGCAGAAAAUUCACUCCCUCAACUUCAUCACAUACGUACUGCAAUUUCAGUUGUCCACUCCUGCUUUUGUCAUCAACUACUAGAAGCCUACUGCCUUGUAUAUAUAUAACACAACUUCAAACUAUACUCGUCAUAACUUUUAUUAGUCCUGCUUCUGCCAGGGGAAUAUAUGUAUCAUUAGACCUACUCAGUUUCUUGAGCACAUAAAUUAGUACCGCUAUACUAGAUGACCGUAAAGAGAAGCAGAGAAGACAGGAAGGUUGAGGCAUUCGCCAUGGCCAAUUGCUUGAUGCUCCUCUCUAACAUGGCCAAACACUACUUCCUCUCCUCCGUCGUUGGACGCGAGUUUUCACUUGCAAAACGUGUAACAAGCAGUUUUCAUCGUUCCAGGCGCUCGGGGGCCACCGGGCUAGCCACAAAAGGACUAGACUGGUGGCUGCAGAUGGCCUUCAUGAUCAGAAUCACUCACCUGCUAAGCCAAAGACGCAUGAAUGCUCCAUCUGUGGCCUUGAGUUCCCUUUAGGCCAAGCUCUAGGAGGGCAUAUGACGACAGACCACCGUAAUGAUGGUACAGCCGGUGAUAAAUCCGAAGAAACACAGUCAGGUUUCAGAAAUCCAAUAGCCAUAGCGAUAGUCAUAGAGCUUUGCUGUUAGAUUUGAACUUAACCCUCGUGAGAAUGAAUUCAAGUUUGGUAGGUUGGAUUCUUUUAUGUAAAAUUUCCUAACUUUUUCUAGUCAUCGGAGUAGUUCUUUCCCCUUUUUAAUUUUGGAUGCAGCUCUUGUUCAUUCAUUCUCGACACAUGUAUAUACAUACAGAGGCGUAUAGAGAGCUAUUAUUCUGGUGUAGUGGAUACAGUAGACAGUUUGUUUUCUUGUCUGGUGGGGAAUAGCAUUAUCGACUCUUUAUUCUCGAAUCAGACCGAUACUUCUUGAAGUCCUCUAUUUAAUAUUGUUCUUCAAGGGCAGUGCAAAAUACUGAAAACAUCAAUUUCUAUCUUUGUCAAGACUGACUGAAACUGAUGUUGCCACAAUCCAAGAAACUGAAAUUCGAUGACAUAUUUCAAGGAACUCAAAUGAUAUCCAUAAAACAAACAUGGUGUCCCACAAAAUUUUAGCAUCAAAUCGUCGAAUUUCAAGAGCUGAUUUUUAUCUUUAUGGUAAACUACAACUCCUCCCAGUGCUGGGAAGUACAUCUGAUCGAUACACAGAAUCCCAGACACUUUCUUGCUGUUGGAUGACUUGUAACAAGUUCUGUGCUAGCCCCUGAAGGGAGAAAUUUGAACAACAGAAAAUUACUUACAAUUACAUAAGAAUCUCAAUAGCGUAACCAGCAACAACAAAAUUCCCCAAAUGCUUCACAUUGGGCUUGGCAGGCAGGAAUUAUUACGACUUAGGCAAUGCAUCGCUUGAGAAGAACGAUCCUGGUUCAAACUUCAUACGCCUCCUUCUUCGGAAAUUUCUUGGACCAUUUUUCAUGGCAACAUCAUCAUGGUUCCAAUUCCACGUAUUUAAGAAAGAACGAGCCAUUUACUUCUAAGAAAGAAGCCAAGCUUCAGUAAUCGAUAAUUUGACAUCCCAAAUUCUCAGCAGUUUGGGUUGGUAUAAAUUCUUUUUCUUGCUGCAGCCGUUGUAGCCUCUGUUGUUGAUGCAUGUAGUAUGCAUAUGCCUGACAUUUUGGAUCAAGAUUUGCAUAGCAAUGCAUAUGAGAGUGGCCUAGUUGCUCCACGAUUUUCUGCUACACAAGUUUUCACAGAACACGGAAACAAGGGAAACGAAGAUAACAAGUUCAAGUUUUUGACGAAAAAAAAUGAAGAAAAAUAGAAAAAUUAAUAUUUUCGCAGAGCUUGAUUGCAUAUGCACACGAGACAGUGCAUGCCCAAAUUCUCCACAUUGGGCUUGGCGGGCAGAAAUUACUACGGCUUAGGCAAUUCAUCGCUUGAGAAGAACGAUCCUGGUUCAAACUUCAUCCGCCUCCUUCUUCCGAAGUUUCUUGGACCAGUAUUCUUGGCAACAUCAUCAUGGUUCCAAUUCCAAUUCCACGUAGUUAAGAACGAGUCAUCUACUUCUAAGAAAGAAGUCAAUCUCCGGUAAUCGAUAAUUGGAUGUCCCAAAUUCUGAGCAGUCUGGGUUCGCACAAAUUCUUUUUCUUGCUGCAGCCGUUGUAGUUUCUGUUGUUGAUGCAUGUAGUAUGCAUAUGCCUGAGUGUUUGGAUCAAGAUUUGCAUAGUAAGGCACAUGAGAGUAGCCUGGUUGCUCCAUGAUUUUCUGUUAACGCAAGUUUUCACAGAACACGGAAACAAGGGAAACGAAGCAAACAAGUUCAAGUUUUUCGCAGAGCUUGAUUGUAUAUAAAGUUACAGAUGCACGAGACGAUGCCUCUCAUUUCGAUAUGAAUGUGAUCAGGAAUCUUGCAACUAUGGAAUUUGCCAAAAUUUGUGUACUUUCCUAAAGCCGGGGCGAUCUCACGGCCCAUUAGGCCCAGAUUAACUUCUAAUCACAUUAUUAGAAACACCUAACCUAAUACAUGAAUUUCAUACAGAAAUUGGAUUAAUUGUCGAUUGUUGCCCCCUUCUAUUAAAAAUGAAUUUUUAGCGGCUUCAUCCAUCCCUGCCCUGUUGGAUUAGUUUUCAUACAAAAUCGGAUUAAUUGGGAAAAAAAUGGUGGUGGGGGAGCACUUGAGAUUCUCGGUGACAUGUUUUCUAUGCCAACCCAAUGCCACCAAUAAUAUUGUGCCAAGUGUCAUGUUAUUGGGUGCUACUCGCAUCGAAUCGGAAGAGGAGGACGAGGAUGGGGUAGAAAUGGGUUGGCAAGACAGGAGCGGGGAGGAUAAAAAAAUUUUAAAAAAAAAAUAUCUCAAUGAAGUGUUAAAACUUUAAAAUACUCUUACAAUAAAAAGUUUUUUUCAAUAUACAAAGUGAAAGUAAUUUGUUUUUAAAAUGCAUCUCUAAAAAUAUUUCCGUGCUAAUCUUUAUUUAUUUUUUACAAGGAUAGCCACGGGCUCAUCAGCAUGAAUCAUAAUUUUUCAUGAAAAAAUUAUUAUAACAAUUUGAUGUAUGUGAAAGAAAAAAAUUAUAGAAAAAUAUGAUCACGAAAAAUAAUGUAAUUUUCUGAUGAAAAAUUGCAAUCCAAACGAGGCCCGUUUCCUGGUUUUGGGAGAGUUAUUUCCAGGUUUGCUUGCUUGAGGCUAAAACUUUUCUCGCCACAAGUGAAAGUUUGAAAAAUCUUACAUGUGAUCAUUCUAUGAAUACCUUCCAUCGUUUACCUUUUUUGGUCCUAGCAUAUCAAUUGACACGUGUUGAGUAGCGUGAGAGCAAGAAGGGAUCGGAUAGAAUUUGACGGGUCGAGCUUCCAACCUGCAAUGACAGCACAACAAUUAGGGCUGAAUGGGCAAUGACUUCGACGUCAAAGUCAAACGAUGAAGAGUUUGGGAGUUGAAAGAUGAGCCCGGAAGCCGCUGAUGAGAAGUUGUCUGUGGGUGUGAGCACCGAUCUCGCAAAUCGAAAAUGGCAUGACAGCCAUAGGGUCAGACCCUAGGCGCGUAGUAUCUGUAUCUGCCAAGUGUCAGAUUUGGUGUCAAAUGCGGGUGUUGGUCACGUGCUUACGUAAAACGGUUCAGUCGGUCUGAGCACAUCCAAGACUUCGAUAACCGCUUCUAGAACCGGAGGUGGCGACUGAGUGGUUCCAUAAGUAGUACGUUGUUGGCCUAUUUCACAAAUUUUUCAAAUACAAAGUGAUAGGAAUAUACAAACAAAAAUAAUUUUAAAGACACCUAAUUCAUGCAGUGCCUCAAAAAAUAACUUAUAAAUAUACAAAAUAAAAAAAAAUUCUUCCACCUACCACCACCAUCACCACGCCCUCCCUCCUCCUUCUCCCUCUUCUUCCUCCUCCUCGUUCCCUCCCUUCCUUCACUCCGCCAAAUCUAACCUCGACCAAAUCUCAACAAAAAGGUGGCAAAAAUACUCCAAAAUAUAUCCCAAAAACACCUGUAAAAAUACCACCAAAAAUAUCUAUAUCAUCUACAAUAAAAGUUUUUCAUAUAUAUUAUUACAAUAAAAUUUUUCAAAAUUACGUCUAAAAACAAUUAAUCCAUUAAUUGAAAUCUAAUGAAUUUUAAUCACAAUUUGUUGUUUUAAAAAAAAAAUUUCCACAAUAAAAUACUAGACUUUUCAAAUAUCUUAAUAUAAUAUACAUCUUGCACACCUAAUCAACAAGCAAGUUCCUAUGGCGUUUGGCGUUGGCCAGAAAAAUGUAGUCCCUGAUGGGACAAAUCUGAAUACAACAAACCACACGAGAAUAGAAACAAGAGUAGUUCUACAAGUAAGUUACAUAUACGCAAGUCAGUCAAAUGACUCUCGUGAAUUCAUUUUGUGAGAACAACAAGAGCUUAAUUUAUUUACGUAUGCAACUUUAAGUUUCAUCAGUGGUCCGCUAUUGCUCUUUGCACAAAUAUAUUUGGAUGAUGUAAUGAUAAAUACUUGAAAAUGCUGAGCCGGCCGGCCGUGUACUUCAAAAUUUGGAUGACGUAUGGAUAUAGCAACUAGCAACCACUUAAAAUACUACUACUGAAUUUUGCUAAUUUCCCACAAGGACCGAACUGAGCUUAUGUUAGAUAUAAUUUCGCUAGCAAAUCAAAAGUGGGUUCAAGAAGUCACUUCUGAUCAGAAACUUUUCUUUGAUGAAGAGAAGUAUUUCCCAUCAAGGUUUUCGACAUUUACCUUUUUGUUUUAUUAAUAUUAGUUGUCAUUUUCGUCAAUUGGUGCAGCUGAUGCAAUAGCUGAUAUGGUCAACUUCUCACCAUCCUACAACGACGACGUAUGUGGAUUUGAACUGUCAAAAGCAAGCACAACAAAUGGGAUAGUUUCAACUGUCAAAUCAUGUACCAGUUACUACUACUUAUACUAUCACGUAGAAACCGGAAAUAUAUUGGCUAAUUUAAUGAACUCAUGAGAUAUUGGUUAUAGAAUGUUCAUGAUAUAUUGGUUAUAGAAUGUUCGUAGGUACCUGGAAUGUGGGAGGGAAACCAGCAGAGGUUGGAGUGGAUUUGAAAGAUUGGACACAAGCACAUAAUAUCCCUCCUGAUUUAUAUAUUUUUGGGUACGCACUCCUUUUGCUUCUUAUUACUGUUCCCUCCCCCAAAGUUGCUUUAAGAGGAUCUCUUAUGUGAACAAAUCUUUGACUUCAUUCUUGCUUAUGAGCAUUAUCCUGUUUCACCAGUUUCAAAUUUAUCAGUUUCAGCAGUAAGCCUUACUGCAGGAACGUAAAACUGCAGCAGCUUUUUAUAGUAACAUGUGCACUUCAUAUUCCCAUAAGGUACACCUAAUCUGCAUUUAGCAAGAAAACAGAUUUAGUUCCAUACUAGCGAAUCCCUGCUUCGUCCCAGAAGGAUUACACAAGGUGGCCAUGCUUGUGAAAUGUGGAAUCCAGCAAUUUGUGUUCCCUGGAGGAUAGGAGAAAUGCACUAAAAUUUGGUGGAGGGGAAUUUUCAUAUUGAUGAAACAGUUUGAUUCCCAUUUUCUUGUACUAGCAUAGUGAGUACUAUGUAAUUUAAAUUUUCCACGAGAAAGAUUUGUCCACUCACACGCAAAUAAUUCUCCCCUUUAGGUUCCAGGAAAUCGUGCCUCUAAAUGCAGCUAAUGUCUUGGGUGUAGAGGAUGGCAAUCCUGCUGCAAAUUAAGUGGCUGUCCCUAGUUCGCCAGGUUCUAGAUAGUGGUGGGCAAGGAGACCAGGAUGCCGGCCACAACAUUAAAAGCGUAAACAAUUUGUGUCCUAAAUAUGGCCGAAUAGCUGGUGAUAAAUCCAGAAUCUGUUCUUCAGAUAUGUUGUUCCUGAAUGAAUCUAGUCAAAUUAAGCAACAAAGUUCAAGUCCCAAGACAAUUAGCGGGGGCGAACCAGUAUAUAUAUUGUUUGGCAGCCAGCUAGCAGAUGGUUGGCAUAUUGUUAUGUGUAUGGGUUCGAGCUGAAAUUUACCAGCAAGUAACCAACUUAAAGGUAUCUUGCGUGGGUACAGGCAUCAUGGGUUACAUGGGCAACAAGGUUAGCAUAUGCAGUCGAUGCACUUUCUUGCUGAUGAAUAAUGUAAUAACAAAAGAAAGAAAGCAGUUUUGGACCAAGGUAUCCAAGGCAAAAUGGUACUUCUCAAUCACAUCACUAACUUGAACAGCCUCUUAAUUGGCAAUUUGCAGGGAUCUGUGUCUAUCACUAUGACACUGUAUCACACCUCUUUCUGCUUCGUUUGCACACAUUUGGCCUCUGGUGAGAAAGAAAAUGACAGAAUCCAUGAUGUUUUGGAAAUUCUUUGUAGGACAAAUUUUUUGCUCUCCCGAAAGAGUCUUGAAAAACCAUCCUUUCCCGGCCAUAUAUUGGAACAUGAGUAAGUAUUUAUCUUGUGUACGACAAAUAAGCAUACGGUACAGUAGUUUUUCCUGCAAUUUUCCUGAUGUUUUUGUGUGGUGGGAAUUGGUUAUUGUUCGUUGCUGCAAUAUCUUUUGGGUUGGGGAUCUGAAUUACAGAUUGGCAUCUGGCUAUGAUGAUACUCCUGAACUGCUGAAAAAACAUGAAUGGCAGUCCCUUCUUGAAAGAGAUCAGAUGACAAAUUAGAGUGGACUUCGGAAUGUCUAAUUAUCCUCUUCUUAAUUUCUGUUUGAAUCUUGAAUAAGCUUAUCAGUUGGACUGGACUUGCAAUUCUGAUAGCGUUUGCGGUGGCAUUGACAGCUUUUAGUCGAACAGAGAGUUGGAUGAGUUAUUGAAAGAUGGCAAGAGGGACAGAUACAUUUUCUCCCACAUACAAGCAUCUCAUCAACUCUGACACAUUACGUGAAUCAGAUCUUUAAACAUAAGCAAAAAACUCCCUCUCCGCCUGGCAAGUAUUCUAGCCUCUCUAGUCAAUUUUCGUUGAUUUCCUCCAUUGCAUCUUCUGAUAAUUGUUUUCAUUGAUAUCAAGUAAUGGACAGAGUAUUGCUAUUAGUCAAAUUGACAAAGUUAGAGAAAUGUAUCAAAAAGGUGAACCUCCACUGAGAACAAAGCACGGAUACUGGAAGAGUCAUCUUCGAAGGACGAAAUCAUUUGCCACAAAACUAUAUCACAAAUUGGCAUUUGUGCCUUUGUGUGACAUCCUUUCUAUCUGUCACGCUAGUUACGGGACAAGUAAAAUAUGUUCAUGCUAAUGAGAAGAUAAAUUGGCGCACGGCAGUCCCUUCUUGAAAGAGAUCAGAUGACAAAUUAGAGUGGACUUCGGAAUGUCUAUUAUCCUCUUCUUAAUUUCUGUUUGAAUCUUGAAUAAGCUUAUCAGUUGGACUGGACUUGCAAUUCUGAUAGCGUUUGGGUGGCAUUGACAGCUUUUAGUCGAACAGAGAGUUGGAUGAGUUAUUGAAAGAUGGCAAGAGGGACAGAUACAUUUUGCUCCCACAUACAAGCAUCUCAUCAACUCUGACCAUUACGUGAAUCAGAUCUUUAAACAUAAGCAAAAAAACUCCCUCUCCCGCCUGGCAAGUAUUCUAGCCUCUCUAGUCAAUUUUCGUUGAUUUCCUCCAUUGCAUCUUCUGAUAAUUGUUUUCAUUGAUAUCAAGUAAUGGACAGAGUAUUGCUAUUAGUCAAAUUGACAAAGUUAGAGAAAUGUAUCAAAAAAGGUGAACCCUCCACUGAGAACAAAGCACGGAUACUGGAAGAGUCAUCUUCGAAGGACGAAAUCAUUUGCACAAAACUAUAUCACAAAUUGGCAUUUGUGCCUUUGUGGUGACAUCCUUUCUAUCUGUCACGCUAGUUACGGGGACAAGUAAAAUAUGUUCAUGCUAAUGAGAAGAUAAAUUGCGCACUUUUUGUGAUUGGCUAGCUGUGACUGGAUACUAUGGCGAGGUAAAGGAAUGAAGCAGAUAAUUUAUGCAAGGGCAGAAUCAAGAUUCUCGGACCAUAGGCCUGUUUAUUUUAUCUUCUCCUCUGAAAUCGAUACAUGAAGCGCAUCCACAACACACAAGAUCAAAUCCAGCAGGACUUUUAGCUUCGAUUGUGAUGAUAAGUGCUUCAUAAUGCUCAAACAUCUAACCUGGAGGCCGGAGAUUAGUCACUAGCUAGGUAGAGGAACGAUCAAUUUCUUACAGAUCAAAGAAGCUGCUCUUAAGAAACUUAGUGGUUAACAAGGUUUAAUAGAAGAUGAAGAUGGUAUAAAUUAGUGCAAAUGUUUGAAAGAAUGCAGAAAUGAUAUUGCUCUAUCAGCAAUCAAAGCAAGAUGAGUGAUUUGCUGAGGACGGUCAGUCAUUGAGGGUAAACAUCUCCAUACCUAAUGCCAAAGUUGAUUUCCAGCUCGUCCUUGACUCAAACUUCAUUUUACUAUUUUUUAAGAAAGGGAUCUAUUCCUAUCUGUAUCACAAUCGCUUUGACUCAAUCCGUUCUCAAGCUAUGCACUGGCCAUGUGCAGUCGGACUCCAUGCAACAUAAGUUGGAAAUGAAAUUGAUCGCAAGCUCAUGCCCCUUGUGCUCGUUUUUUAUUGAGCACAUUUUUUUUUUUUUGGUAAAUAAUGAUCCAGCAUAGAUUAAAUUGUAAACUAGUUAAUUACAAUAUUCUAGGGAACCAUACUCUCCUCAAAUCCUCCAACAAAAUGGAACUUAAAAAGAGGGCGCCACUAGUCUACAAAUGAGGAAAAGGAUGACAAGUUUUCAUCCCAUAUUUUUGCUAAGAAAUCCGCUGCCCUGUUACCUUCUCUAUAUUAUAUAUGUGCUUCUAACUUCACUUCCAUAAAGCUAGAAAUGAAGGCCCUGCCUGUCACACAGAAUUGAGGAUGCUUCAUGGAGAGUUGGAUUGUAAUAAACGGCACCUAUAUAUGGAGAGUUGGCUAAGGGAACAGGACUUAGCUGCCUUGUGCAUAUAUGGUUUACUAGGGCAUAAUCAUGGAUUGCAUCUUAUAAUCUGUAUACAAAACUGUUCUUGCUAUUGUAGUAAGGCACGCUAAAGCAACACACGCCUUGAUCAACAAAACCUUUAUGAAAAGCUACAGAGUUCGUCAACUAUUUUGUUCCGACUUAGAUACACUAUUAUAUACGCGGCUUGCGUGCCAUGCCAUCAUGCAUCAUCAAGAAAUGUUUUGUCAUUGACUUUUCUUUUCUAAUUUGUUUGAGUUAUCUUGUUUUGUGAACAUUGGUGUCUUCUUUUGUUCUCCUGUGACUUGAUUCAUGCCUUCUUUCCUUUCCGUGUAAAAGAUGCCUGGGUAUGAUGCAAUAUUGAACUUAUCUUGAUUUGAACAAUUAAUUCUUCUGCUUUCGAGGUUUUUGACUAGAAAAGUAGAGCCCAUAACGAAUUAACGAUUAUUCACAAAAUUUAUAAUAAUAAUAAUAAUAAAAGAAUCCAAAAGCUACACAUAGUUGAUGAUCCAAGGCUUCAAAGUGCUGACUUUGAUAUGGCUUUGCCGUUAAUUAACAUUCUAUACGUUCGGGAUGACGGUCUGUCCCAUCAGUAUGACGAGAUGUGUGCUGUUCUACAUGUGUUCUUGUUCUUGACAAAUUAGUCAUCACGUGAUGAAGUCAAAAGCUUUUAUCCAUGGAACUCUAGAAACUUUUGUCCAUCAAAUUCUGUGGUCUCAUCCGAGAAACAAAAGAUUUAGUAGAAUCUAGUCCGUCAGCUUUAUGAGGUAAUAAGAAAUACCAUACUUUGAUUAAGUCGUUUUAAGAACAGAACUAUCUCUAUAUAUUUGCUUAUGGCAAAACUUCCCUCUUCAAAAGAGAUUCGUUUAACCUCCACUUUCUUCACACACUUUCUGUUCUUUCGCAGCAAACAUAAUAUUUUUUCCCUCGCACUUGUCUGUCAAUAAUCAAUCAAUCAAUAUACAGCAGAAGCAGUUUUGGUUUCUCUUUUUCAUAGGAAUACUAGGCGUUCCAAUGGAGCUGAUUCCUGGCCUUCCAAAUGAUGUAGCCAUCGAGUGCCUUAUUCGAGUCCCAUUCAGCCAAAUAUCAAAGGCUGCAUCUGUUUCCAAGAAUUGGAAGGCAGAAAUUCAGCUGCCAGAAUUUCGGCAGCGAAGGAAGGCUGCUGGAUUUACCCAACCCCUCAUCGCGAUGACACGAGCAGAUAGCAACCUGAAUGAGCAUAUCCGCGAUGAUGAUGACGGCGGUGCUAGACGCUUACAUCAUUACCUGCUCAAAAUCUGUGAUCCUGAACGACGCUUUUCGUACGAGGUGCCUUCGAUCCCAGGACUCUCCAAGGGUGUGCCGAUGUUUUGCCAAGUUGCAGGAGUCGGGACAAACCUGGUAGUGAUUGGCGGGUAUGACCCGGUUUCUUGGAAAACCUUGAAUUCAGUCUUUAUUUACGAUUUCCUGACCGCCACGUGGCGAGAUGGGGCUGCUAUGCCAGGUGGACAGAGAUCAUUCUUUGGCAGUGCUUCUGAUGGUGAUCAUAGGAUCCUCGUUGCAGGUGGACAUGAUGGCAACAAAAACGCACUUGCAUCUGCGCUGAUGUAUGACGUGGCCAAGAAUGAGUGGGUCGUGUUGCGUGACAUGGCGAGAGAGCGUGACGAAUGCAAGUGCAUUUUCCACCGUGGCAGAUUCCAUGUCGUUGGUGGUUACUGCACGGAUCGGCAAGGGGAUUUUGAGAGCAGUGCAGAGGCACUCGAGCUUGAUGAUGUUGACGGCUGGAAGUGGGAUGAGUUAGAAAACAUCCAUGAAAUGGAUCUAGCGUUGACCAAAAUAGAGGUUCCCGGCGGGCAUUCGGACACCGUUCAUGUUCAGUCUUGUUGCUAUUUGGAGGUUUGAGGUAUACUUUUCAUCUGUAACAUGCAGUUUGUUUGUACUAGAGUACGUUGACAAGGCAUAACUAGGAAUGUAAAUAAGGUUUAGUCAGGCAAAGUUCGUUGGAUCCAAGAAAUUUGGAGCUGAACUUUUUUGUUUUUUUUUUUUUGGCGGGGGGGGGGGGGGGUGGGGGUUGGGAAUUGAGCGGGUAGGCUCAAUUAAAUUAUGAUCAUAGCUUGAGCUUCAUUAGGUUUAGCUGAUUAGAUGAGUGAAUUUAAUUUGUGAGAACAAAAAGAACUUUGUAUAUGUAGUAUUAAUGGUUUCAACUUUGUAUACGUAGUAUUAAUGGUUUCAAUUAUAUGUAGUAUUAAUGGCACAAUACAUAUUCGAAAGUUUCUUAAGUUUCUCCUUCUUAUUUUUUUGUUUCCGACUUGGUCCUCUUGGUUUUGCAGUAAGUUCCUGUUUAUAUGAAAAAGUGGCGUUUGGUAAAAGGGUUUCGGAAUGGGAAAUUGGAAUAAACCCAUGAUUCAUGUUUGGUUCACUAUUAUCGAAAUUGAAAUUUUGGAAUGAUAUCUAAAAAUUUAGCAUUCCACCAUUCCUUAGUAAGUUGGUGGGUUUUGUCCAAAACCCAAGUGUGAUUCCAAAAUCUUAUAAUUACAUAAUAUUUAGUAUAAUUAAUAUAUAUAUUAUAUAUUUAUAUUUAUAUUAUAAUAUAUAGAAUAUAUUAUAAUUAUAAUAUUUUAUUAUAAUUAUAUAAUUUAUUAUAAUAUUAGUAUAUUAUAUAAAUAUAUAUUAUAAUUAUUUAGUUAAAUAUAAAUAUAUUUAUAUAAUAUAUAUUAUAAAAUUAUUAAUAUUAUAUAAUAAUAUAUUUAUAAUAUAUAUGUAUAUUUAUAAAUGUAUAUUAUAUGUGCAUAUAAUUAUAAUAUAUAAUGUAUGUAAUAUUAAUAAGUUAUAUAAUUAUAAUUAUAAUUAUUAUUUUAAAUAUAAUAAUAUAUAAUAAUAACUACAUUUAAUAAUAAUAUGCAUUAUAUUUAUACAAAAUAUUAGUACAAUUAAUAUUUAUAUAUUAUAUAAUUAUAUAUUUAUAUUUAUAUUAAUAUGCAUUAUAUUUAUAUAAAAUAUUAGUACAAUUAAUAUUUAUACAUUAUAUAAUUAUAAUUAUAUAUUUAUAUUAUAACAUUUGUAUAAUUAUAAUUAAUUAUAUAUAUAAUAUUUAAUUUAAUUAGUUACAAACUUAUAAUAAUGAUAUUAUUAUAUUAUUAUAUUAUAUAUUAUAAUUAUUUAGUUAAAUAUAAUUAUAUUUAUAUAAUAUAUAUUAUAAAUUUAUUAAUAUUAUAUAAUAAUAUAUUUAUAAUAUAUAUGUAUAUUUAUAAAUGUAUGUUAUAUGUGCAAAUAAUUAUAAUAUAUACAUGUAUAUAAUAUUAAUAAAUUAUAUAAUUAUAUUUAUAUUUAUUAUUUUAAAUAUAAUAAUAUAUAAUAAAUUUACUAAUACAUUUAUACUAAUAUAUUUAAUUAGUGAAAAUUUCUUAUAUCUCAUUUACAAAUAGCCAAUGACUAUCAUUUACGAUACUGUUUAUAAUAUAUUUAUUAUAUUCCAUUCUGAAAGUGCCGACGAAUCAAACAUCAACUAUAGUAAUGAUAUAUAUUCUAGGUACUUGAACCAAACAGAUAUAUUGAAAUGAAUGAGCGCAUUCCAAAUCCAGGAUAUCCGAUUCCGAAUCCAAAUCUUAUUCCAAUGUGCGAAUCAAACGCCACCUAAAAAGUUUUUAAUUCUUUUCCUGAUAAUAAAUAUUGGAGAUUUUGAAUUCAAAUUUUCCUAUUUAUUUCGUGCUAUUUAAGUCCCACACUCCCACCUUCCUAUUCAAAAAAAUUUUUUUUUUACUUCUUAAAUUUCAUUUUUUUCGGUUGUAAAAUUUUAAACCCCAAAAAAAAAAACCUCCAUUUCAGUGAGGUUGAAUCAUUGGCUCGCUUUAGGCUACAUGACAAUUAGUGUGUUUGGAUUGUAAGUUAUUUGAAAUAUUUUUACUGUAGCACUUUUUGUGAUGUGAUGUAUGUGAGAUAAAAAGGUAAUUGGGAAGAUAAAAAGGUGUAUUGAAAAUUGUAAUGGUGAUGUCAGCAAAUAUAUUUGGCCAAAUAAUUGGCUGUCCAAACACACUCAAUGUUGUUAGAUGUGGCUGAAAUCCAUCUGAUCACCGCUCCGAUGGAUGAUAGGAAGAUGUAAAAUCUUUAGCAAUUUAUCAACGGUCAAGAUUACGCAUCUAUGAUACACGUGUAAGUCACUAGAGGGCGACCCUAAAAUUUGAUGCGGCAGGUUCAGUUACAAUUCUAUAAUCCUUUUCACGGGAAAAAAUCGUCUGCUCCUCGCACAUCAUAACCAUGUUUCGUCGACCACAAAACCUACUCUUUCACUGAUCGAGACGACGCCGUCGCCUGCCGUCUCUGUCGUCGCGAAAUUUGAUCGGAUAUCACCUGAAGUUCAUAGUCAGUUGUCUAGUGUAAAGAUCGUUACUUUCUCCCCUUUUCUCUUCUCUCACAAUCUCUAUUAGUUUAGGGUUUAAGUCUACAUAGUUUUUUACUUUUUUGGGUCAAAUAUGAAUUUUUUUCCGAGAUAAAAUGUUGUUAUUAGAGAAAGACUUAAUAUUUCUGUAUUAUUGUAUUAGAUUUUGAAAGCAGGGAACUGGUUUCAUGUAGCAUUUGGGAGUAAACAUUGAUUGAAGUGGAAAAGCUGAAAAUGGUAAUUUUUUUUUUUUGGCAAAUGAGACGUUACGUUUUACUCUGUUUUCCUGCUUGUUUAAUUAUUGUUUUAUGUGGGAUAAUUGCACGGAGGGUUAAAGAUUUUGCUCGUUUUGUACUUGGCUUGAUGUGCAGAUAAUGGGAUUUGAUUAGUUCAGUUGAUCGACGCCUUGGACUUAAAAAUGUGUUUCUUUAGACUUGACAACAUGUUUUGAACUAUGUCAUUUUAAUCAAGGGUAUUGGCAUUUUGGGGAGCCAUCAGCUGUAUUUACAAAUUUUAACCAGCUCAAGAGUUCAAAUGGACGAAGUACAUGAGUGUUUUAUGGCUUGUGUAUGUCUGUACGUAUUAUAGCGGUAAGAUGUGUGAGUUUGACUUUCAAUUUUUAGUUUCAUCCGUAAUUUACAUCUAGACAAGGUUUAGAUGACGUGCUUGUCAAGGAUAGAUGUUGAUUUGUGGUUGUUUUAGAAAAGUAAGCUACAUCUAGGAGGAAGUGAAUGUUUUGCUUGAGGAAUUGUCGUGUUUGAUGCUUGAAGAAUUAUAUUGAAUUAUGUCAGUUCAACGAACCAGUGAAGAGAAUAGAAACUGUGUUGCUGUGGGAAAUGUGACUAUAAGUCUUGCCAAGCUGCUGUUCAGUAGAUAAAGAACCUGUGAAGUUAUUACACCAUUUCUCGUUUAUUUUACUUUUGCACUGGUAAAAAACUAUCAUCUAAUCGUGCAUGAUAUCUUGUAUGUGCUUCGUAUGACCUUUCAGGCACUGUAGAUUUUCUUUACAACUGGUUUGUUUCUCGGAUAUCUGCUUAUCUGUUUUCAUUCUCCUGUAGUGGAAGUUUGGAAACUUACCUCUGGUACUCUCUUGGCUUAACUUGUCGCCUCCUCUCUCAUUCCCUAUCUACAGUCUAUGCGUUUACUCUUUAACACAAGUAGGCAGAAACCUAUGUAUGGAUUCUUUAACACGUUAGUUCAUGCAUCUAGCCGCAAGCAAGAUUUUAGUUUCUUAUGUAUUUCUUUUGCUCUAUUAUCUAUCUAUCUUGGUAUUCUCACAUAGGAUCUCCUGGUUAUUUGUUUUCUGUUUCUCAUUUACAGUCUUUCCAGGACAAGGGUUAUUGGAUGCCAAAGGGUGGCGGACACCUAGGUGAUGGAGAAACAGUUUUUAGUAACUCCUCUAGAAUUGAAGCGAAGCGCACUCAUCAGUGGUUGUCUGAUGCUGCUGAUCAUGAGGUUUUUUCCACUAAAAAGCAAGCUGUUCAUGUUCCAGUUAGCAAACAAAUUCCAGGAGUCCCCAUGACAAGUCUUGCUUGGGAGAAUGCUUCUGGAUUCCAAUCGGCACCAAACCAAUUCAUUGAUCGGUUAUUUGGUCCUGAUACAACCAGGUCGGCCAAUUUAUCAAGUCGAAACACCUCUCAACUCGAUGUGGAAAACUCCAAUAUGAGAAAAAAAGUCAUAGAUGACCAACUUGGGGGUGACACAUCAGUUGGUUUGUCAAUGUCUUAUCCUUUACAAGAUCCAGAAACUUGUGUCAGCUAUGGUGGAAUUAGAAAAGUUAAAGUCAAUCAGGUUAAGGACUCUGAAAUUGGUUUGCAGGCAGCACAGGAACACAAUAUUGGUGUGUCCUUGGAUCAGGCAUAUAACAGGGAUACUGAAACAGCUUUUGUGUCUAUGGCCCAAGCUUUUGGUAAGGAAGCUGAGAGUGUUACCUUGAUGGGUCAUUCUCAUAGUAGGGUGGAAGUGAAUAUGAAACCUCUGGACUCUACCUUUCCAAAAGGUGAUGAUAGUGCAAUGUCACUCAGCCACUCUUUCAGUAAGGGGGAUUCUAGUACAAUAUCCUUUGGUGGCUGUCAAGAUGAGCCGUAUAUGGAUGUUCUUGCUAGGCCUGUUAAUAGUAGCUAUGACUUGUUGUAUAAUCAGUCUUCCCUUCAAACAGCAGAAAUAAUUGAUGCAAGGGAUUUGGAAGCACCAAUUGCAGUUGCAAGUACCUCGCAAACGCCCAAAGGAAAGCCUGAUUCAGUCACCAAAAAUAAGUCAGAAAUGAAACCAACCAGAAAAGAAGCUCCGAAUAGUUUUCCUUCAAAUGUUAGAAGUUUGAUAGCAACUGGAAUGCUUGAUGGGGUGCCUGUAAGAUAUAUAUCUGUAUCACGAGAGGUAAAUCCUUGUUUUUUUAAUUUUGGUUUAUUGACAAUUAUACUGUUUGGUGGAUCAUUGGAAUCUUGCUGUAUGUAAUCAGGAGCUUCGUGGUACUAUAAAAGGUUCUGGGUAUCUUUGUGGUUGUCAGUCAUGUAACUACUCCAAGGUAAUUCAUCUGCUUAUUCUUAGUUUUUAUUCUCUUUUAUGCGAUCCAACCUCUGAAGCAUGUUUUUGGCUGAAGGCUCUUAAUGCUUAUGAAUUUGAGCGUCAUGCUGGUCAUAAGACAAAGCACCCAAACAAUCACAUAUACUUCGAGAAUGGAAAAACUAUAUAUCAGAUUGUCCAAGAGUUGAGGAACACCCCGGAGAGUUCGUUAUUUGAUGCCAUUCAGAAUGUGACUGGUUCCCCAAUUAAUCAAAAAGCCUUUCGCAUCUGGAAAGGUAGUAUCUUUCUAGUACUCUGUCUCUGUCCACACAUACACCCCCAACACCCCCCCAAGUGGGGCCGGGAACAUGUCAAUUGUUUUUUAAGCCAAUGAGGCCUGUUAUUCAUUUUUUUUUCCCUUCUGUGCCAGAAUCAUUCCAAGCAGCAACCCGUGAGCUUCAGCGCAUAUAUGGAAAGGAGGAACUUAAUCUAUGAUAAAGAAUGGCAACCCAACUGCUGCCCAUUUAAAAUGUGAAAUAGGAUAUCGUUUCUUGUGUGCAUAGAGGUAAAUACUUAGAUAUUUGGUGAAAUAGGGCUCGGGCUCAUUCUCGUUUUGCUGUAAUUUGCUGCUGCAGUUGGAAUGUCACAGUUUGUUAAUCUUCCAACAUGCGAUGUCGAAUGGAGGCAGUAUAACUGCCACAAUAUGUACAGUAUUCUGAAUAUUAUUUUUGGCAUAUUGAAGUCUCUCUUUCUAGAUUUGAUGGUUCUUGGGAAGUUCCUUUUUGUGUUGGUACCAAUCGUGGACUUUCUGAGUAGAAGGAAUCAAUUUCAAGGUUUCCAAAUUCUGCGAGGGGCUAGAGAAUUCACAAUUUGGUUUACCGCAUAUAUUCAUGUUACCGUACCUUCAUUGUUUUCCUAGGGCAUCCGCUUGGAAAAAUUUGUUCGGCAUAACUUCCACCAUUCCAUGGUCAUCUUCAUUUUAUUUGCUGACAUUAUUUUGCCCUAAACAAGAUAGUUUAAGGUUACUGGCUUCUUUUAUCAAAUAAUUGUAGAAGGUGCAUUUUUCUUUCAUUUUCAUACCAUCUUUUACAGAUCUGACAAGAGCAUAGAAAAGAACGACUCCACUGUUGAUCCUUUUAAGAAAAGAAAACCGCCAAGACCUCCCCUUAACUCAGAGAAUUAGAUCGCACCAUUUUGUAUGGGAUUGGCCAGAAUUGUUUUGACAAUUAGUUGACCUUCUACAAGUACCAGUCAUCAAACUUAUGCCUUAUCCAACACAUUCACUAUUGCAAAAAGGGUAACGGCCAGCCAUCUUUUUACUGCUAAUUUCUGAAGCUUACUGCAUUAACUAUGAAGGAAUAUGCAAUCCACAUCUGCACAAAUCUAUUUCACAAUUAAAGAAUAAACAACACUGAAAGGACAAAUUCAGAAGGGAUUACUGAUGAAACCAUUAGCGUCUGGCCACAAUAAGUGCAAGUUUCUCGAUCAGUAAGAGCCAAUCUUACACAAACUAAAAUAAGUCCUUUUAAAGAAUGACAAUUAAUUAAAUUACAUCCACCGACAAUGUUUCGUCACAAUUAGUUUUUGUUUUUGUUCUCUCCUGUCAUUGAGCACCUGAUGUAAGUGCUCAUUAGUAUUCUUCCAGUUCAAGAAC